UCUGUGAGAGAGGAGGAGCUACUGCAGCGGUCGCUGUUCGGCGCGCGCUUUGCAAACGCCGAACUUAACCGCGGUCACGUCGUGCGGCCGCGGACCCCUGGACGCGCACUUCUCCCUUGGGAUCGGGACGCAGACCCCUUGACCAAGCGCGUCCUGACACCGCAGUGCGUCGGCGGCACCGCGGGGAGGGGAACCCGUGCAGAGCUCAGCUGCAGCUCAGUCACUGAUGGCGCGGUUCCCGGCUGAAGCCCUCGGAGAGGAAAUUUUAAAAAACCUCUUUGUCACGCUGUUUCUUCUUUCUCUGAACUUUUCCAGGAUCUCUCACUGAACCUGGAGCUCACCAAUGUGGCUAGACUGGAUGGCGGACCUGGGAUCUGUGCCCCUCCAUGCUGGGAUUACCGGCAAGCACUGACUUGCCUGGCUUUAUCACCGGUGCUGGGAUCCGAAGUCAAGACCUCAUGCUUCCCCAGUGAGCGCUUUACCCACCGAGGCUCUUCCCUCGGAGGAAUGCACUGCUGGUCACGGCUUCCGUUGCUCUGGAGAACUUCAGUUGACGCUGUAAAACGGCUGAAAGGGGAGAAGCUUGACUAAGUCUUUAGAGCAUAAGGAAAUAUAAAUCCAGUCAGGUGACCUCAGUCAACCAUGAUUUUGUUGAGAAACCCUGAGAAAGAACCAGGCGCCAUCCAGGUCCAUCCUACAGUCUCAUGGCAGCAGCUACACUACAGAGAAAUGCCCUGUUCUGUCAUGCACUGACGUCCCUCACCUAUUCCUUAUAAUAAGCUGAUCGCCUCAAGGUGUCGCCUCCAUGUAAUGGUAUUAUGUGAUGUUUUGUUUGUGUUCUGACAAAUAAAGCUUUCCUGGAGAUCAGAGGACAGAGCUAGCCACUAGGCAACCAUAGAGGGCAGGCCGUGGUGGCACACACCUUUAAUC